rnacentral:tRNA from 1 species
CCGGGAGUAGCUCAGCGGUAGAGCACCCGGCUCUUAUCCGGCGGACACAGGUUCGAGCCCUGUCCCCCGGA